rnacentral:lncRNA from 1 species
UGGAACAGUAUUUGCAGUCAGGAAUGUGGUGCUGCAGUCAAGGUCCUUCAUGGCCUUCAUGACUGAAACCAAACAGGUUCAGGGCAGGAAGGAUUCAAGGACGGGUCCACCAACAGCAUUAGGAGAGCAGAUAAAACCUCGGGAAAUCUCUGAAUCCAAGUGGUGGGAUGAGCUUGGUCCCUCUUGUUCCCCAAAACAGAUGAAAAGGCAGGGAAGAGUGUUAAGAUGAAUUUGAUGAAGAAGAACCCACAGCUAGAUGCCUGGGACUAGGAUGAGCUUCAGGUUUGGCUCUGACAUCACUGAAAUACUUCAGCAAAAUAUCAGGACUAAUGUCAGGAAUAAACCAGCAUUGUUAGUUCCUCCUUUCAUCCGAAGCCAAACACCUGCAGCUCUCUGCAGGACUCAAAGAAGACCUCGCUGCCUAGAAAUGCCCAAACAGGACUCCUUCUCCAAUGCUGUGCUGUUGCAGGAAAUGGAUUCAUUAAUGGGAAAAGCUCAAGUUACAGACUCCAGCAAAACUGCAAAGAAAAGAAAAAAGAGGCAGGCCAGAUCCUCAGCUGAUGUCAAUUAGCAGAGCUCUGUCAAUGUCAAAAACUAUCCUGGUUUACAGCAGCUGAAGAUUUGGCUUGGGAGCUUCCAGCUUUUUGAAGCUCCCAUUUGUUAUGCAAGGAUGUGUUGUUAGUGCUGCUCUUUCUCAUGUAGACCUAUAAAUGGGCUCCUGGGCUUGUUUUCUCCAUGUCUACCAGGUUGUUUCACAGAGCUCUGCUGGUCUGCUCAGGAGAAAGCAAUGUGCUGGCCUCUGCCAGGCCACCCAGGCUGCUAUAUGUUGCUUCCACGGGUGGAGAUGGCAGUGGUGCAAGGGAUUUGUCUCUUGAGAGACUGCGAGCUGAUAAGGAGUAUGGGAACUCCACCAGAAAGGCGGGAAAUAUCAGAUAUCCACAGCUUCGGUGAGGCCCAAGAAAAUGUGUUUAUGCUUUAAAGCUGCUGUUUGCUGUCUGAGUAGUCUUUUUUUUUAUUGAUUCCACAACUUUGCACCAGCUAAACCUACUGGAAGAUAGAGUUUUUCAGCUUACAUACAAUAUUUAAUUCCAUAUACAUGCACUAUUAUGUUGAAAGGACUAACCUGGUAUCUCCAUGUCCCAGACUGCAUUAUAUCAGACCAGCUGGAAGUUAGUAUUAGUGCAGAGAUUUGCACCAUACCUUACUGCUCAGUCUAAAUGUUCUUUACCUUUGAUAUUCCCAUACAGAAAAUAAUAAUGAAAAAAAAAGGGCUUACCUCUAUGUGACUAUUUCAAGUUGUUACCACAGUUAAGAAUAGAGGGGUUGGUGUCUAAGUCUUCCUAUCCUGGAAAUGAUAUAUAUGGAUGCACG